rnacentral:rRNA from 1 species
GACGAACGCUGGCGGCGUGCUUAACACAUGCAAGUCGAACGGUAAGGCCCUUCGGGGUACACGAGUGGCGAACGGGUGAGUAACACGUGGGUGAUCUGCCCUGCACUUCGGGAUAAGCCUGGGAAACUGGGUCUAAUACCGGAUAGGACUCCGGACUGCAUGGUCUGGGGUGGAAAGCUUUUGCGGUGUGGGAUGGGCCCGCGGCCUAUCAGCUUGUUGGUGGGGUGAUGGCCUACCAAGGCGACGACGGGUAGCCGGCCUGGGAGGGUGACCGGCCACACGGGGACUGAGAUACGGCCCAGACUCCUACGGGAGGCAGCAGUGGGGAAUAUUGCACAAUGGGCGCAAGCCUGAUGCAGCGACGCCGCGUGAGGGAUGACGGCCUUCGGGUUGUAAACCUCUUUCAGCAUCGACGAAGCGAAAGUGACGGUAGGUGCAGAAGAAGGACCGGCCAACUACGUGCCAGCAGCCGCGGUAA